rnacentral:rRNA from 1 species
AUUGAACGCUGGCGGCAUGCCUUACACAUGCAAGUCGAACGGUAACAGGUCUUCGGAUGCUGACGAGUGGCGAACGGGUGAGUAAUACAUCGGAACGUGCCCGAUCGUGGGGGAUAACGAAGCGAAAGCUUUGCUAAUACCGCAUACGAUCUACGGAUGGAAGCAGGGGACCGCAAGGCCUUGCGCGAACGGAGCGGCCGAUGGCAGAUUAGGUAGUUGGUGGGAUAAAAGCUUACCAAGCCGACGAUCUGUAGCUGGUCUGAGAGGACGACCAGCCACACUGGGACUGAGACACGGCCCAGGCUCCUACGGGAGGCAGCAGUGGGGAAUUUUGGACAAUGGGCGAAAGCCUGAUCCAGCCAUGCCGCGUGCAGGAUGAAGGCCUUCGGGUUGUAAACUGCUUUUGUACGGAACGAAAAGACUCUGGUUAAUACCUGGGGUCCAUGACGGUACCGUAAGAAUAAGCACCGGCUAACUACGUGCCAGCCGCCGCAGUAAGAC